rnacentral:rRNA from 1 species
GGGGGGAGCGAGCGUUGUUCGGAAUCACUGGGCGUAAAGGGCGCGUAGGCGGCCGGAUAAGUCGUGUGUGAAAGACCGGGGCUCAACUCCGUGUAUUGCAUGCGAUACUGCCCGGCUAGAGUAAGGUAGAGGCGAGUGGAAUUCCCGGUGUAGCUGUGGAAUGCGUAGAUAUCGGGAAGAACACCUGUGGCGAAGGCGGCUCGCUGGGCCUUUUCUGACGCUGAAGCGCGAAAGCGUGGGGAGCAAACAGGAUUAGAUACCCUGGUAGUCCACGCCGUAAACGAUGGGCACUAGGCGUUGGGAGGAUUGACCCUCUCAGUGCCGUAGCUAACGCGUUAAGUGCCCCCGCCUGGGGAGUACGGCCGCAAGGCUG